rnacentral:snRNA from 1 species
CUUAGUCCGUUGGAGAUGGAUUC